UCAUUUAGGCUGAGCUGGCUCAGUUGGUAAAGCAUAAGACUCUUAACCUCAGGGUUGUGGGUUCGAUCUCCACAUUAGGUGAA